UUGUGGAGGAGGACGCCGAAGGUGGGGCUAAUGACUGGGGUGAAGUCGUAACAAGGUAGCCGUACCGGAAGGUGCGGCUGGAUCACCUCCUAACAGGGAGACAACAAAAUGUUUAAAAUUAUUAUUUUGUCACCUUAGGUCGAUCGGUAUCUCACAUUCUUAAAUUUAUUGAGAAUUUCUUUUCCUAAGUUUUUCUAGGUCACACCCAUUUUUUUCCUGGGCCAUUAGCUCAGGUGGUUAGAGCGCACCCCUGAUAAGGGUGAGGUCCCUGGUUCAAGUCCAGGAUGGCCCAUAUCUCUAUGUUGGGGGUAUAGCUCAGUUGGUAGAGCGCCUGCUUUGCAAGCAGGAUGUCAGCGGUUCGAGUCCGCUUACCUCCACUGAUUACCACCUCUUCCAUAAUCUGUAGAAAGGAAAAUUUUUGAGUAGUGAUCAUUAUUCUGAACGAAUCUAGCUUCCUAAUAAAACCAUUAAGAUGCUGGACUCAUUGAAUUAAUUUCAUUGUUUUCAGAGAACCUUGACAACUGCAUAGAUUAUUUUUAAAGACAAUAAGCAUCUUUAAUGAUGCAGAUUUAUUAUUUGUGCAAAUGCAUUAAUAACAAUUCUAUUAAGCUGAUGCUUCAAUUUUGAAGUUAUUGGUCAAGCUACAA
rnacentral:misc_RNA from 1 species